GCGGUAAUCAUCCUCACUGAUGUUAUAUUUCCCCUGAAGACGCCUCUCCUCCGCCUCCAGCUGCUCCUUCUCCCGCAUCUCAAAGUCGGACUCCAGGGCGUCAAAGACGGCGGCCCCCACCAGCAGGCUCCACGCACACCGGACUCCAUGCAGGACUCCGUGGAGCUCCGGCAUGAGUUUACCUGCUCCUGGAAACCCACGAUGACCACUCCUCCUGCUCACCUCAUGGACCGCCAACAGCUGGAGGCUCUCUAUGGAGCGCUGUAGAGAAGAGACUCAGGGAAGCUUUAUCCUGAUUUAAAAAUAUAGAUUCAACGAUUAAAUCUAAGAGGUGAAUCGUUUUUUAUGAAUAAUUUAGGGCAGAUGGUCAGAGAUCCUCCUCAUGUUCAGAAUGCAUCUGUAGACAGACCUGAAAACUGCAGCUGGGAAGCGACGCCUUCAAACCUGAACAACCCGGAACUAUUCACAGAAGAAGACUGGACCGUAACUCCAGUAAAGAGAUGUUUGAGAUGUCUUCAUUAUGACAGGAAGCAGGAGUUUCUCUGUCUGAAGCUUGAUGGUCCAGUGGAAGAGUGUCCGCCCUGAGAUUGGGUAGGUUCUGGUAGUCAGGUCAUCCUAAAGACUUGAUGCCAAACGGCUUGAUGCUCAGCAUUGAGUGGUUGCAUUAGGGGCGUUGAAUGGUCCCUCCCUGUUGUAUAUACUGUAUCUUUAUCCCCCUUUUUUUUUUUUACGGAUGCAUAUAUAUAUAUAUAUAUAUAUGUAUAUAUUUAUCUUUUUAUCUUAUAUUCUUUUUAUCUUUUUUGCAUAGGAGCACAGGUCACUGGAACCAAAUUCAUUGUAUAUAUCCUGUACUUGGCCAAUAAAGAUGAUUCUGAUUUUCAUGCGACAGUAGUGUCUGCAGCCCCCCACUACCCACAGGAGGUCAAACGCAGAGAACAAAUUUGGCAAAACCAAAUGUGUGACAACUGAUGGGGCUUUAACUUCCACGGUGAACUGUUUUCUGACAGAACUGAAACAGUUUGCUACGCUGAAGUCUCUACACAGCAGAGCAGUCACUGUUCCGUUAGGGGCCACAGACAUGACCUUUUUCCCUCCCUCCACAUUUUCGCAUAUCAGAAUAUUCUUCAUACAAACAGUAGUUUGUGUACAUUUAUCUCUGGAAGAGCCUCACUGCUGAUGCUGUAAGUAAAUUCUAAUGGAGCUCAUCUUCUGGAAAUAAAUAGCAGAUAGAAACAGUCACAU